GUGGGGAAUUUUGGACAAUGGGCGCAAGCCUGAUCCAGCAAUGCCGCGUGCAGGAAGGAGGCCUUCGGGUUGUAAACUGCUUUUGUACGGAACGAAACGGUCCUGGCUAAUACCCGGGGCUAAUGACGGUACCGUAAGAAUAAGCACCGGCUAACUACGUGCCAGCAGCCGCGGUAAUACGUAGGGUGCGAGCGUUAAUCGGAAUUACUGGGCGUAAAGCGUGCGCAGGCGGUGCUGUAAGACAGGCGUGAAAUCCCCGGGCUCAACCUGGGAAUUGCGCUUGUGACUGCAGUGCUGGAGUGCGGCAGAGGGGGAUGGAAUUCCGCGUGUAGCAGUGAAAUGCGUAGAUAUGCGGAGGAACACCGAUGGCGAAGGCAAUCCCCUGGGCCUGCACUGACGCUCAUGCACGAAAGCGUGGGGAGCAAACAGGAUUAGAAACCCUGGUAGUCC
rnacentral:rRNA from 1 species